rnacentral:rRNA from 1 species
AACGAACGCUAGCGGCAUGCCUAACACAUGCAAGUCGAACGAGAUCUUCGGGUCUAGUGGCGCACGGGUGCGUAACGCGUGGGAAUCUGCCCUUGGGUUCGGAAUAACAGUUAGAAAUGACUGCUAAUACCGGAUGAUGUCUUCGGACCAAAGAUUUAUCGCCCAAGGAUGAGCCCGCGUAGGAUUAGGUAGUUGGUGGGGUAAUGGCCCACCAAGCCGACGAACCUUAGCUGGUCCGAGAGGAUGAUCAGCCACACUGGGACUGAGACACGGCCCAGACUCCUACGGGAGGCAGCAGUGGGGAAUAUUGGACAAUGGGCGAAAGCUUGAUCCAGCAAUGCCGCGUGAGUGAUGAAGGCCUUAGGGUUGUAAAGCUCUUUUACCAGGGAUGAUAAUGACAGUACCUGGAGAAUAAGCUCCGGCUAACUCCGUGCCAGCCGCCGCCGUAAGAC